GUACAAGUUGCGAAAGGUACGCCAUUACACAUAAGUUAUAAAAAAUACACCAUCCUCCACACUCUACCAGUUGGAAAAGAUCAUAGCAGCCUGGGCGACACAGCAGCUUAAAGGCUAAGCAUAUGUAGUGUCCUCUUCUCUGGAAUUUCUAGAUAACAUGUUGCAAGUAGGGCCACUUCCAGAUGAGUCCUAUACUAUAGUUGAUUUUGACGUUCUCUAUCUGUCUAUUGAGUUAGCCUCUGCAACACUUCUAUUCUACAGAUUUAUGCUUGAGAGGGUUCUUGGCUCAUAUAAUAGUGCUAAAGUGUUAAGAAAUAUCACACAUACAAUAGUGUAUAACUCCUACUUCACCUUUCAUGGUAGUAUAUACAGACAAAGGAGUGGUGUCCCGAUUGGGGGCCCCUUGCCAGUGUAAUCGCCAAAAUUGUGGUUAGG
rnacentral:lncRNA from 1 species